GCAGCAUCUGUUAGAAGUGGCAGCUAUUUACUUGUUUUAAAGGAAUUGGAGAAGCCGAUCUAAAUUCCGAUUUUUUUUAGUGAAAGAAUAUCAUUCAUCUAGCAGAAACUAUGAUUAUAUCAUUUGCCUUUAAUAACAUUCCUAUGGUUGUAGGUUAAACAUAUCUCCAUAACAAAAUAUACACCAAUUCCUUUUACCAGGAUAAGGAUUUUGAAACAUUUUAUAGUCUGUCCUCUCCUUUUACAAAAAAACAAAGUUAAACGGAGAGAAGUUUAACAUAGUAUAAUAUGAUAGUUCUGAUUUAUUCUCCAUAAAAAUGUAGACAAAUAUGAAUAAAAGUUACUUUGACC
rnacentral:lncRNA from 1 species